GCUGGGUGUGGUGGCGCACGCCUGUAAUCCCAGCACUGGGAGGCUGAGGCAGGAGGAUCGCUGUGAGUUUGAGACCAACCUGGGCUACAUAGUGAGUUCCAGGUCAGUGUCAAGUACAUAGUGAGACCAUGUCUCAAAGAAACAAAAACAAACAAACAAACAAGCAAAAAACAAACCAAAAGUAGUGAACAAAAAAAGGGUUACUUUUUUUGUUUGUUUGUUUUUUUGAGACAGGGUCUCACUAUGUACUUGACACUGACCUGGAACUCAAUAGUCCAGGCUGGUCUCGGACUCAGAGCAUCCUCCUGCCUCAG
rnacentral:SRP_RNA from 1 species